CUGCUCGAUUCAGCAGCACAUAUACUAAAAUUGGAAGGAUACAGAGAAGAUUAUCGUGGUCCCUGUGCAAAGAUGACAUAAAAUUCAUAUUGAAAUACACAAGAUUCAG